rnacentral:tRNA from 1 species
GACUUUAUAAGUCGUGAGGGUUCAAGUCCCUCUAUCCCCA